rnacentral:rRNA from 1 species
UACGAAGGGGGCUAGCGUUGCUCGGAAUUACUGGGCGUAAAGCGCACGUAGGCGGUCUUUUAAGUCGGUUGUGAAAUCCUGGAGCUCAACUCCAGAACUGCCUUCGAUACUGGAAGACUUGAGUCCGGGAGAGGUGAGUGGAACUGCGAGUGUAGAGGUGAAAUUCGUAGAUAUUCGCAAGAACACCAGUGGCGAAGGCGGCUCACUGGCCCGGUACUGACGCUGAGGCACGAAAGCGUGGGGAGCAAACAGG